rnacentral:rRNA from 1 species
UCCGUAGGGUGCGAGCGUUAAUCGGAAUUACUGGGCGUAAAGCGUGCGCAGGCGGUUUUGUAAGUCAGAUGUGAAAGCCCCGGGCUCAACCUGGGAAUUGCAUUUGAAACUACAAGGCUAGAGUGUGUCAGAGGGGGGUAGAAUUCCACGUGUAGCAGUGAAAUGCGUAGAGAUGUGGAGGAAUACCGAUGGCGAAGGCAGCCCCCUGGGAUAACACUGACGCUCAUGCACGAAAGCGUGGGGAGCAAACAGG